rnacentral:rRNA from 1 species
GACGAACGCUGGCGGCGUGCUUAACACAUGCAAGUCGAACGGAAAGGCCUGCUUUCCCUUGUGGAUUGCGGGUACUCGAGUGGCGAACGGGUGAGUAACACGUGAGUGACCUGCCCCCAACUUGGGUAUAAGCCUGGGAAACUGGGUCUAAUUCCCGAUAGGACUGCAGGGUGGUGCCUGUGGUGGAAAACGAUUUUCUAGUGGUUGGGGAUGAGCUCGCGGCCUAUCAGCUUGUUGGUGGGGUAAUGGCCUACCAAGGCGGCGACGGGUAGCCGGCCUGAGAGGGUGGACGGCCACAUUGGGACUGAGAUACGGCCCAGACUCCUACGGGAGGCAGCAGUGGGGAAUAUUGCACAAUGGGCGGAAGCCUGAUGCAGCGACGCCGCGUGGGGGAUGACGGCCUUCGGGUUGUAAACUCCUUUCGACCGCGAGGAAGCCACCUGGUUGGAAGGGUGGUGACGGUAGUGGUAGAAGAAGCACCGGCUAACUACGUG